rnacentral:rRNA from 1 species
AGUGAACGCUGGCGGUAGGCCUAACACAUGCAAGUCGAACGGCAGCACAGUAAGAGCUUGCUCUUACGGGUGGCGAGUGGCGGACGGGUGAGGAAUACAUCGGAAUCUACUUUUUCGUGGGGGAUAACGUAGGGAAACUUACGCUAAUACCGCAUACGACCUACGGGUGAAAGCAGGGGAUCUUCGGACCUUGCGCGAUUGAAUGAGCCGAUGUCGGAUUAGCUAGUUGGCGGGGUAAAGGCCCACCAAGGCGACGAUCCGUAGCUGGUCUGAGAGGAUGAACAGCCCACAGGGAACUGGAGAACGGGCCAGACUCCGACGGGGGGCAGCAGGGGGGAAAAGUGGACAAGGGGGGGAAGCCUGAACCAGCCAAACCGGGGGGGUGAAGAAGGCCUUCGGGUUGUAAAGCCCUUUUGUUGGGAAAAAAAAGCAGCCGGUUAAAACCCCGCUGUUCUGACGGUACCCAAAAAAUAAGCACCGGCGAACUUCG